rnacentral:tRNA from 1 species
GUCCUUGUAGCUUACAAUAAAGCAUAACACUGAAGAUGUUAAGAUGGUUGUCAUAAUACACCCAAGGACA